rnacentral:miRNA from 1 species
CCACUCAUUAAGCCGUACUGUGGC